CUCUCUCAUCCAACCUCGAAUCGAGUUGAUUCCAAAAGGGAUUUUGCUGGGCCUGAGCUAUAUUACAACUUUGUAGAAGACAUCGAGGGGAAAUAACCAACGUGGUAGCCGCUACAAGUCGAAGAACACGAUGCAGUCGAGCUGGAAAUCACCUCCUUUCCCCACCGUCGUUCUCCCUCCUCCGGCCACCUUUUGCCGUGAUUCUUGAGAGGAUUCUGCACUUCUGAGGAUGUAGAUCAUUUCCCCUAAGGUGGAUUGCAUCGAUUUCAUCUGUGGAGAUCGAAUUGGAACGAAUUCAAAACUAGGGUUCUUCGGGUUUCAAACCUUAUAAGGUGAUUGACGGUCUCCCUUGGGUGAACGAUUUCGGUGUGUAUUGUGUUGAAUUGAAGACGCAGCGGGAAUAUCGAGCGGGUAAUCCUGCAGGUCAGGAGAAUCAGGACGGUGAUCGUGCGGGUUAGAGAAUUUGUUUUAGUUUUACAGCAAUUGUAAUUGUGAGGUGAGUUAUGCUCAUUUGAGCCUUACAAUAUAAUUUGGUAAAGUGUGCUGUAAUAAACAAAUUUGAGAUUUGGUUUAUGUAAUAUCGAGCGA